GGCUGGUCUGAAGGUAGUGAGUUAGCUCAAUUGUUCACAGUCAGUUAUAGAUCAAGCUCCUUGUUCUACUCUUCCCCUCUUCUCACUACUGCACUUGACUAGUCUUAA
rnacentral:Y_RNA from 1 species